UCCUCUGAAGAAACAGCUGCAGAAUGUGGAAUCAGUUGUGUGAAAUUCCCUUUGGCAAGACCUUUGACCCUUGACUUCUGCUAGAUCCAGCUGAGUGAUCAAAGAGAGGACUUUUGCAGGUUUCACCUCCCCUGGACUCUGGACUUGCCCUGAUUUCUGGGCAUUAGGAUCUGGGGGUCCUCAUCUCUGCCAUGGAGAGCUCAGGGAGACAGUGGGGGCAAGCACAGCAGCUCAGCUGGGAAGCCAGGAGAUGGAAAGGUUAUGCCAGGAAAACAGGAGAUUGAUCUGGAUGAACAUUUUCCAGGAUCCCACCCAGUAUUGCCCCCAAAAGUGUAAGUGAAGUCCAGG
rnacentral:lncRNA from 1 species